GGAAUCUAUCUCUGUGGCUUUGGUCUCUCUUCUUCCAAAGACAGAGAUCCUCUCGUAAUCUCGUAUACCCUUUUUAGAUUCAGAUCGAACAGUUUUAGAACCCUAGCUUCUCUUUUAUGCGCUGCUAGUUUCUUCAUCCCUCCUCUCAACAUUCGUCAUGGAACGGAUUGUAGGCGGCAAGUAUAAGCUUGGCCGCAAGAUCGGAAGCGGAUCCUUCGGUGAAAUUUAUCUUGCUACGCAUAUUGAUACUUUCGAGAUCGUCGCCGUCAAGAUCGAGAAUAGUAAAACAAAGCAUCCGCAGUUGCUUUACGAGGCAAAACUGUACAAUAUUCUUCAAGGAGGAAGUGGCAUUCCAAGCAUAAAAUGGUCUGGCGUUGAUGGGGAGGAGAAUGUGCUUGUUCUUGAUUUGCUGGGACCGAGUCUUGAGGAUCUGUUUGUGUAUUGCGGAAGAAAGUUUUCAUUGAAGACAGUCUUAAUGCUGGCUGAUCAAAUGAUCACUAGAAUAGAAUAUGUGCACUCUAAGGGGUUCUUACAUAGGGAUGUAAAACCUGAUAACUUUCUCAUGGGACUUGGCCGGAAGGCUAACCAGGUUUACAUAAUUGAUUUUGGUCUUGCGAAAAGGUAUCGGGACUCCACCACCAAUCGCCACAUCCCUUAUAGGGAGAACAAAAAUUUAACAGGGACUGCACGCUAUGCAAGUUGCAAUACUCAUCUUGGGAUUGAACAAAGCCGACGGGAUGACUUGGAGUCACUGGGUUACGUUCUUCUGUACUUCUUGAGAGGAAGCCUUCCUUGGCAAGGUCUAAAGGCUGCAACAAAGAAGCAGAAGUAUGAUAAAAUAUGUGAAAAGAAAUUGUCAACUCCCAUUGAGGUCCUCUGCAAAUCUCAUCCUGUAGAGUUUGCUUCAUACUUUCACUACUGCCACUCUCUGACUUUUGACCAGCGGCCUGAUUAUGGAUUCUUAAAGCGUGUAUUUCGGGAACUAUUUACUCGAGAAGGUUAUGAGUUUGACUAUGUAUUUGAUUGGACCAUCUUGAAAUAUCAGCAGGCACAAAAGAACAAAUCUCAGCCACGCAUACCUCCGGUUACUGGAGCAAGCAACACUCGUGCAAUGCCUAUGGAUGUUGACAACCAUCAUGUUGAUGUAUCAGAUCGCAUUAGAUCAGGCAAUGCUACAAGUUCUGGUGUUAAAUUGCAGUUUAAAUCACCAAUGGGCAAACAUUUAAGUUCUGAACAUCCUUUUAAGAAGAAUAUUUUUCGUGAGGAGAAUAUGCCCUCUACUUCAUAUUCGCUUUCUGGUAUCUCCAAAAGGGACUCCUUGAAGCCCAUCAUGUCUGCUGAAGCUGCUAAUUCUGGACAUGAACAUGUUGGUAAAAUUGGCCCUUCUAGCAGCUGGAUUUCAUCUCUGCAUCGUGGCAAAUGAAAUAGUGCCGAUAUGCUGUGAAUCUGUUCAAGAAAAUUCUCGUGCAUAUGUCAAGCUGCAAAUGUGUGGUGGUUCACUUGCUUCCUUUCCUGUGUAUUUAAUCGAGAAUAUCUCAGUGAUUUAUUAAUGGAGACUGUCAAAUUUGCUGCCAUCUUGUGCUACUUCUUUCCCAAGGAAGUUCCAUUUUUUUAUUAAUGGGAGUCUCUAAUUUUCUUUGGUGCGACCAGGAUGCUCAAGCAGCACUUCUCUACUUGUAGGUAGCACAAAAAUUGGCACUCAGCCAGGUUAACUUGUAUUGACAUUCUUGGGAUUAAUGGGUACAAUCUGGUUUUGUCAGUCUUGUUCAAGGAGUCUUCUAUUCCAACCAAUGUUUAUGAGGGAUGAAGUAUGAGUAAGUAGAUUCCCCUAUCAACAGGUGCUGGUUCUGGGCUCAAGGGAAAACAAUUCUUACGACAGAAUACAUUUGAAGGCCGGUAACUUUGGUAUCCUGAGCUGGAUCUGGUUUAUCCACGAUUUUAUCCAAUGCCCAUUUGGAUAGAUUACAAUUGCAGCUCAUAGCAUUUAAAUCAUGCAGCAGACUGAUCAAAUGAGACGGAGAGAAUUGAUUUUCUGAUGAAGAUAAAAACAUGUAGACUGUUGGGAGAUGUUUGGUACAUGACACGUUUCUUCCUCAGUGUUAACGCUAUGUGACCACAGACCAAUUCUUUUUUAUUUUCUAAAUUAUUCACAGUCCACCCGGGUGCUGCAGAAUAUGAAUAUCUUGGGGUCCAAGCUGUCUCACGUUUCUAAGAUUCUGGUGGAAAAUAUCCUUGACUUGGAUCGUCGAUGUGGCUGAAGGUUGUCUAGUUGUUGUAAUUACAAUUUUGAAAUGCAAGAAUUUCAGAGUUAAAUAUUUGCUAAUAUAUUUUAGAGGUUUUUGCUCUGUAUCCUGGGACUCCAGUCCGUUUGAGUGAAAACAACUAUGCCUACCAAACCAACGAAUGGUCUUUCGUCCUGGGACAGUAUCACUGAAUUUAUCUCAUACGUUGGCGAUAAAAGAUCUUUUAUGGCAA